rnacentral:rRNA from 1 species
AGUGAACGCUGGCGGUAGGCCUAACACAUGCAAGUCGAACGGAAGCACAGUAAGAGCUUGCUCUUACGGGUGGCGAGUGGCGGACGGGUGAGGAAUACAUCGGAAUCUACUUUUUCGUGGGGGAUAACGUAGGGAAACUUACGCUAAUACCGCAUACGACCUACGGGUGAAAGCAGGGGAUCUUCGGACCUUGCGCGAUUGAAUGAGCCGAUGUCGGAUUAGGUAGUUGGCGGGGUAAAGGCCCACCAAGGCGACGAUCCGUAGCUGGUCUGAGAGGAUGAUCAGCCACACUGGAACUGAGACACGGUCCAGACUCCUACGGGAGGCAGCAGUGGGGAAUAUUGGACAAUGGGCGCAAGCCUGAUCCAGCCAUACCGCGUGGGUGAAGAAGGCCUUCGGGUUGUAAAGCCCUUUUGUUGGGAAAGAAAAGCAGCAGGUUAAUACCCCGCUGUUCUGACGGUACCCAAAGAAUAAGCACCGGCUAACUUCGUG